CCCUUAGAUGUCCUGGGCCGCACGCACGUUACACUGAUGCAUUCAACGAGCUUAUAACCUUGGCCGAGAGGCCUGGGCAAUCUUGUUAACGUGCAUCGUGAUAGGGAUAGAUUAUUGAAAUUAUUAAUCUUGAACGAGGAAUUCCUAGUAAACGCAGAUCAUCAAUCUGCAUUGAUUACGUCCCUGCCCUUUGUACACACCGCCCGUCGCACCUACCGAUUGGAUGGUCCGGUGAAGCCUCGGGAUUGUGGUUCUUGCCGCUUUAUUGUGGCGUGACCGCGAGAACUUGUCUAAACCUUAUCAUCUAGAGGAAGGUGAAGUCGUAACA
rnacentral:rRNA from 1 species